AUUGAACGCUGGCGGCAGGCUUAACACAUGCAAGUCGAGCGAGCGGCGGACGGGUGAGUAAUGUCUGGGAAACUGCCUGAUGGAGGGGGAUAACUACUGGAAACGGUAGCUAAUACCGCAUACCAUCAGAUGUGCCCAGAUGGGAUUAGCUAGUUGGUGGGGUAAUGGCUCACCUAGGCGACGAUGACUAGCUGGUCUGAGAGGAUGACCAGCCACACUGGAACUAAUACACGGUCCAGACUCCUACGGGAGGGAGCAGGGGGGAAUAUUGCACAAUGGGCGCAAGCCUGAUGCAGACAUGGCGGGUAUGUGAAGAAGGCCUUCGGGUUGUAAAGCACUUUCAGCGAGGAGGCGUUACUCGCAGAAGAAGCACCGGCUGACUCCGUGCCAGCGGCCGCGGUAAUAC
rnacentral:rRNA from 1 species